rnacentral:rRNA from 1 species
CCUACGGGAGGCAGCAGUGGGGAAUAUUGCACAAUGGGCGCAAGCCUGAUGCAGCCAUGCCGCGUGUAUGAAGAAGGCCUUCGGGUUGUAAAGUACUUUCAGUCGUGAGGAAGGUGUUAAGGUUAAUAACCUUAGCAAUGGACGUUAGCGACAGAAGAAGCACCGGCUAACUCCGUGCCAGCAGCCGCGGUAAUACUGAGGGGGGGAGGGGGAAGCGGAAUUACUGGGCGUAAAGGGCACGCAGGCGGUUAAUUAUGUUGGAUGUGACAUCCCCGGGCUUAACCUGGGAAUGGCAUUCAAGACUGGUUAGCGAGAGUCUUGUAGAGGGGGGUAGAAUUCCAUGUGUAGCGGUGAAAUGCGUAGGGAUGUGGAGGAAUACCGGUGGCGAAGGCGGCCCCCUGGACAAAGACUGACGCUCAUGUGCGAAAGCGUGGGGAGCAACCAGGAUUAGAUACACUAGUCGUC